CACACAAUUGAAGGAAAAUUGAAAUUUUUGUCCAAACAAAAAAUUAGAAUCCCCUUCUUCUUCCUCCAUACUCAUUCACAUUCACAUUUAGGGAUCUUUCUGCAAGUUUAUAUUAAUUCAUGUUAACACAUUUCUGAAAACCUUAAAUCAGGGUUCCUCUUGCUCACAUACUACUUUUUCCCCCUAAUUUUCUAAAGACUACACCUUUACUACACUACACUACCCCAUUCUCCAAUGGGGUUUCAGAAUUUGAAUUGAUGAGGAUUUUGUGUUUGAUUUUGUGACCCAAACCCAAAUGGGUGUGGGGAAGUCGUGGUUGUUGUCGAAGAACUUGGCUGUGUUACACCACACUCACCCUAACGCCAAACAUGUUUUCUGUUCGAGAUCCAUCUCUUGGUCGGUGGUUUGCGGGUUGUUGCUAUUCGUGUUGGGUCUUAUUUCACUCUUAACGGGUCAUGUUGUUUCUCAUCUUGAAUGGUACUCCCAACGAUUCGGUCACCGCACUUUCUAUUCUUCACUGGAUGGAAAUGAUCGUGCAUUAAUUGAUAUUUGGGAAUCACAAUAUUCUAAAUACUACUAUGGAUGCAAAGAAAGGGGACGCCAUUUUUCUCCUGCUGUACUUGAGCGCAUGUCAAAUGGCUACUUGCUUAUUGCAACGAGCGGAGGACUGAACCAACAAAGAACUGGGAUAACUGAUGCUGUUGUUGUUGCACGAAUUCUUAAUGCUACACUUGUUGUACCUGAGUUAGAUCAUAAUUCUUUUUGGAAGGAUGACAGUGACUUCGCCAAUAUUUUCGAUGUCAAUUGGUUCAUUACUUAUCUUGCAAAAGAUGUUACUAUUGUUAAAAGAGUUCCUGAUAAGGUCAUGCGGUCAAUGGAGAAACCCCCAUAUACAAUGCGUGUCCCGAGGAAAUCAGAUCCUGAAUAUUAUCUUGAUCAAGUUUUGCCAAUACUCUUGAGACGAAGGGUCCUACAACUAACAAAGUUUGACUAUAGACUUGCAAAUGACCUUGAUGACGAGCUACAGAAACUGCGUUGCCGUGUUAAUUAUCAUGCUUUGAGAUUUACAAAACCUAUACGACAACUCGGUCAAAGAAUUGUAAUGAGAAUGCAAAAGAUGGCAAACCGUUAUAUAGCAGUCCAUUUGAGGUUUGAGCCAGAUAUGCUGGCAUUUUCAGGUUGUUAUUUUGGUGGGGGUGAAAAAGAAAGACAAGAGCUUGGUGAAAUCAGAAAAAGAUGGACAACACUGCCUGAUUUGAGCCCUGAUGGAGAACGAAAGCGUGGGAAAUGUCCUCUUAGUCCUCACGAAGUGGGUUUGAUGCUGCGAGCGCUUGGUUUUACGAAUGACACAUACCUGUAUGUUGCAUCUGGUGAAAUAUAUGGUGGGGAUGAAACCAUGAAGCCUCUCAAAGAUCUUUUCCCCAACAUCUAUACGAAGGAGAUGCUUGUUGAGGAAGAGCUGAAACCUUUUCUUUCAUUCUCUUCCCGACUUGCUGCUAUUGAUUACAUUGUUUGUGAUGAAAGUAAUGUAUUUGUCGCAAACAACAAUGGAAACAUGGCCAGGAUCCUUGCUGGUCGAAGGCGAUAUAUGGGUCACAAGAGAACCAUUAGACCAAAUGCGAAGAAGCUCAGCGCGCUGUUGAUGGCAAGGCCUGAGAUGGACUGGGAUUCAUUUUCAAGAAAGGUGAAGGAAUGCCAAAGAGGAUUCAUGGGAGAGCCAGAUGAGAUGAGACCUGGACGGGGAGAGUUUCAUGAAUAUCCAAGCUCAUGUGUCUGUGAGAAACCAUUUAUAGAUGAACUGAGUGAAGAUGGAAUCCGGCCACCUAAACUCGCAUUUAGAAAUCUGACAAUGGGAGCUGACUCUGAAAUGAAUGAAGGAAAUGAAGAAAGUUUUGAGCUACCAAAGGCAAGUGAGAGAACAUGACAUGAUGAUGAAGAUGUGAAUUGAAAGAACAACUCUGGUCCCUUUAAGUUGGUGGUAAUAUGAAAGUUCUGUUCUUUCACGUUGUGGAUGGCUUGAUUUAGAUCUUUGUAUAGGGGAAAAGUACUUAGAUGACAUCAAUGCCUUAGCUGACCAGAAAUUACAAAGGAGAAUGAAAGGCUACCUACUUCUAAUCUCAGUUGCUCCUUUCUCUUUCAAGUUUGACCAAUUUUAUUUCAUGUUAUUGUUUUUUCUAUAGAUAAAAUGUCCUGUAUAAAAUCCCAAAUUUUGCCAACCAAGAUAUCAUGCAAAGACAAGAGGCAAAGGAGAACAAUGGGAGCAAAAGCAAUUGUACAAGUUAAUAAUAUCCAAGUAUUAUGUUACUAAUUGAUAAAUUCCACAUACAACCUACAGUGCCAUAA